rnacentral:rRNA from 1 species
UACGUAGGCAGCGAGCGUUGUUCGGAGUUUCUGGGCGUAAAGGGUGUGUAGGCGGUUAUUUAAGUUUGGUGUGAAAUCUCCCGGCUCAACCGGGAGGGUGCGCCGAAUACUGAAUGACUUGGAGUGCGGGAGAGGUGAGUGGAAUUCCUGGUGUAGCGGUGAAAUGCGUAGAUAUCAGGAGGAACACCGGUGGUGUAGACGGCUCACUGGACCGUAACUGACGCUGAGACACGAAAGCGUGGGUAGCAAACAGG